AGAGGACAGUUAACUUGUUAUGUGGUGUCCAGCCUCCAGUAUCAGUGGCUCUCCAGGAAGAAUGAAAUCAAAAUGUUCAAGAAUUUUGAAAACCAAAAAAUUCACCUGUGUAGUCUUAAAAAGUAAUUCAUAAAAGGUAAGUGAUUCUUUUUAACUCUUUCCCUCAAUGACAACUUACUUUGUGUAUUUUUAUUUCCAAAGACAUACCCACUUCUUUUCCUAGACAGAAGGCCAAAAAAAAUAAUAAUAAUAUGAGGCCUUAUUUUUUAAUAGCAAAAGGUACGUCCUACCACAACACAACAAUUCAGGACUGUAAUGUCAUUGCUAUGGUUAAAAAAAAAAAUUAGAAGUUGCAAAAUCUGGCCUCAAAUCUUCCUCCCACAGCUAUUCAUCACUCUCUAAAACACUUAUUAUCUUUUUUAUAUAUUAUAAUUGCCUUUGACAUUUAUGUCACCUUUUCCUAUGUUGAGGCUUCUUUUACAUCAACAUUUUCAAAUUAUAAUAUUUACCAGUCCGUUGUCUUCCAUUCUGACUAAUAAGACAUCUCUAUCUCGUUAUACACCUAAUUCCAACUAAGAUAACACAUUCUGCUGUGUGGAGUAAGCUCUUUGAUACUUUGAAUUAUUUAGAGGUACCAGUGGCAUCUAAGACCGGAAUAUUUGGAAACCUAACCCGUCUAUUCAAAAGGUCAGAGCACCUAACUGUGCCAAAGAGGGCUAACCAGAAAAGAGUCAGCCAACAUGUUUAUCUCACUUGCCAACUCCAGUCAAGAGGUGGGGGCUGCCUGGGUCAAUGAACAGUACUGAAAAGAAUUCCGAGGCUGUGUCUCAGUGAGAUAGAAUGCUGUUCCUGUGAGAAAAAUGCCACGACUGAUAAGUGAUGUCUGCCGGAGGAUGUGGAGUAUCCAUGUGACUGCCAUGAAUUUGCCAUCCUCGGCCCAGGCUGCCCUAAUUAGACGGCACAACCUCAGGUACACAAACUCUCCCAAGAGGUAAACAGUUUGCCUUCAAGAUGAAAAUCUGAUUAUAUAAUCUACCCAUAAAAUUAAUAACCAUUAUUUUUAAAAGGGGAUUGUCAGCUCCCAAGAAAUGCCUCUCUAGGUAGAAUUUUAGUAAUAUAUUUAUUUGCAUGAAUAUAUCCAAAUUAUUAAGAUUUUAACAAGCAGCACUCACCACUUUUCAAAUGGUCAAUAACUAUAGGUGCUUGCUAUAUCAGACAGUACAAGCUUAGAGUCAAAUGAACGUGGAUUCAAAUUCUGGCCCUGAUUUUACUUGUCAUGCACUUGCUCUAAAUCUGUUUCAUUAUGUUAAAAAUUACUAUCUCCAGAUAUUGUGAGAAUUAAAUAAAAACAGCAUACUCAAAGCAAAAAAAAAA